CGGGCAGGGUGGCGGGGCUGCCCUCCGAGCCCUGCGCCCCGCUCCUGCGGGAAGAGGGGCGGCUUAGGCUGGGCUUAGCCGCUCUGCAGCAAGGCCCCCGUUCGGUUCUCACCGGCAAAGCGUCGAUCAGGCUGUUCCAGUAAAGUUGGAGGCGCCUCUUGUAAAAACGCAGAACUUGAUGUUUGAACCAGGAAGACUCCUUCACAAUCCCUUUUUCCUACUCAAACUACAUUUACCUUAUUGCCAGCUAACAGGUCUCUGAACCAGAUCACAACUGCUCACAGUGAACUCAGAACAUGUGAAAAGAGAAUAAGUAAGCUUCUUGGCUCCCAAAUGGAUCCCUGAAGCGUGACGCUGAUGGGAUGCCAGCAGAAUGUUAGCCGCUACAUCCACUGGUCCUGCUUUGAUGUUUGAGAAGUACAACUCUCAACAGAGUUCAGCUGCCCUGCACCCACAAGGCUAUGACUGAGAACCGCAAGGCGAAUCCAGAGAGGAAGCAAUUCUUUCUGACUGCUUUAAAAAUUCUUGACCAAGUGAAAUUAUUUCUUUAUUCUUACAUCUUCUUUAACAAGUGGGUGUGAGCACUUUUUUGUUGUAAUUUUCCAUCAGAGGAAAAUCACUAUUAUGUUCUACUGCUUAUUUUGAGCGCAGAAAGAAAAAAAACUGCGGGGUCUGUUUGUUUUCUGGGAUGCACUCUGAACUCCUCCCAUCUGAAAUAAGCAUAACUAACCAGUGAGAAACUGCCCCACUGGGGCUUCUGAUUUGUUUUGCUAUAGUUGGCUAAAGUCUUUAAAGGCUUUUUGUAGCAUAGGGGAGGCAGGAUAUAUUGAUUCAAUUUGAAAAUCCUCAGAUAUUAUCACUGCACUCCAUCUUGUGGAAGAGGCAACACACAUUUUAAAAUGAUCCUGUAGUGGGGUUUUUGAGUAAUUAUACAUAACAAUGUCUGGUUCUUACUGUCAAAGCAAGGAGCUACAUAUAGCAGUGGAUAGAAGAAGCUGUUUAAUUCUCCAUCUGCCUAAUUGUACCCAAUGGAUUUGUGUAAAUGUCCCUUGGUUUUAGGUAUGAGCUUCACAUCUCCUUCCUCUUUGUUUUGGAAAGGAGGUUUAGGAAAGCAUUCCAAGAGCCUAAUUUGAAAAGAGAAACUAAAGCAGAAAGGAACCUGCUUUCUAGGUGAGGUUGCCAAGCAGCACCCCAGCUUUGGGAGAGUCAUCAUAAGGCUGAAGAAGCAGCCAAGUGGUGGAGGGAUGGUGACCUGUGGGGAUAUGUGGCUGGGGUAAAGACUCUGCUACGCACGAUUGCUUUGUAGGGGACUGACUAGUUUGGGGGUUUUAUUUUUGUUAUCCCUCUAAUAUAAGUACAAUACUUUAGCUGUGUCCAGGACACACUAUUGAGGAUCGCUAUCUCUCUUACCCAAAAAACCCCAACGAUGAGGUCCUCUCUGCCCUUCUGAAACUGCCUUUCGUGACUUGUGACCUUUUUACCCCUUGACGUUCAGUGCUGCUUUGGGAAAUCGGAAUGGGUAUUGAGGCAACAACUAUGAGCCGUAGCAAAGGUGUAUUUAUACAUAUUUGUGUCUGGCUGGGUGCAGAGAAAACUGAGAAAUUUCUCUGGAUUCACAGCUAUAGAAAGGUUAACCUUAUAAUAGUUGCCCUAGGACAAGCUGGACGAGAAUGCCAUUGAACUUUAAUGAAUAACUUAAAAUACAAAGGGCUAGUUAUUCGAACUGUUCCGUGGACAGAAGAAAAAAGGUUUCCUUCAGAAAAGACUGCAGAAAAGCUUAGUCAUUCAGACCCAAAAAAGCAGGGAAAAGCAGGUCUUGUGCUGAAAGAAGUUAGGAAAAAAUUCUGUUGUACAAAUGAGGAUCCUCUGAAUUACCUCACCCCAGAAGCAGGUUCCACAAGGAGGAUAAAUUUAAUCAGCAGACAUGAACUGUGACUUCCCCCGUCCCCUCCCCCCCUGAACUUCCCCCUCUCUUGCAGUAGCAGUAAUGUACGGGUCUCUCCCCGUGAUGUGGCGUGGAACAGCAGUGCUGAAUGAAGCACUGGCCUUUUUUGUUUCGUUUACCAGGGAGGGGCUUGGACAACACAGUGGUCAACUUGCUGAUUGCCGGUAUGCCUUACUGCUCCAAACUGUGCUCAGUCUGCUAACGUACAAUUCAUCUGUUUUAAGUAAUGCCUCACUGAAAACAAGGCCUUGAAGGUGGAGUGUCUGCUUCUGUCUACUAUUAUAACAGUGGCGACAGGUCUCAUUAACUCCUGAGAUAAUACUGAGGACAGGGAAUCUUCGUUGACUACAGUAUUUGUUAGCCUUUUCCAGACUCCUUGGUCAUUUUCCUAGAGCAAUGACUCAUCACUUCAUCACUGCGCUUAUUAGCUUAAAUUGUUAUUAUUAUUAUUACAAUAAAAGUAAGAUAAUGCUUAUGCUAAUUCACUUUGUGCGCAACUGUCAGAAUUCUUGAAACAGUUGUCAGUUGAAAACAUCCUACAUGAGCAUUUCAGCAUUGUUUAGACUUUUCCUGAUUAUUCUAUUCAUAUUUAUGAAAUUUAACUCUGUUCAGUGAUGAUUUUCAAUAUAGUAUGUGAAAAUUCAGAGCAAAUGGUCAGACCUUUUUGUGAAACCAUUAGUAUUGUUUGAAGGGAAAUCAGGCCAUAACAUGACUGCUCUUCAGUUUUAGUAAAAACUCAGCCUCACAGAUUUCUUUCUUGCUGAACAGCCCAAAGAGUAAUGUUGGGACAGGGGUGGCAGGGAAGACUUGCCCAAAAGAAGAGGUGUGCUUUUCAGAAACAUUGAAUAUGGAUGAUAAAAAGAUGCAGUGAGAUUUUUUUCCCCCCCUAACAACAGCAGAAAUCAUGCAGGUAAGCAGGAAAAAAACCCACAAAUGUUCAGAGAUUUUAUAUUUGCACUUAUUUUAUUAAGCAGUUAGUUGUAUACAACCCCAAAAGUGUCUUGAGUUUCAGGCUGUCUGAAGUCUAUGCCCUGAAGAAAAGGAAGACGUCAAAACGUGGUUUCAGGUAUAUGCAGCAUAAAAACCUUAUCAUCCCUUUUGCCUGCUUUUUCUUUGUAAAAGAAUGAAUUUGAAGACAUGGAAAAACACAGCAUAGUGUAACAGCAAAGGGAUGGUACCAAAGUCUGACCUUGGUGGGGUUAUUCAUGUGCUUGAAGUUACACAAGUGUUUUGUUCUGCCCAUAUGUGGAAUAUAAGCAAGCUCACCACAGUAAGUAGAGUGAGUGAAAAAAGACUGGGUGAGUAAGGAUUAUAGUGGAAAAAACAGACUGCUAUUUUGAAAUGGAAAUUUAUUACAUUUAUCUGAGAAUUGAUGCAGAAGGCUUGUGAACUGGAGCUGAGUUUGAAAUGUAGCAUGAAAAUGCUUUCGCACCUUUCGCUAGAAGAAUAAGGUCUUCUAGAGCUGCUUUUGCAGUCGAGCAAAUAUCAAUUAGUAAUUUACUCACAGCUUCAGUACUUUGUUUUCUAUCCUGUUUUUAUUCUGCGACGAAGAGAGAGAAAGAGAAAGCAUUUGAGCAAAAUUUGUGUCAUUGCCAAGAGAACAGGAGAUCAUUUAUUUUGUUGUAAUUUCAGGUAUUGCCAUGCAUUCAGUGUCUCUUGUCUUCCCUUUUGGUCAUCUGACUGCUGUUGAAGUCAUUCCUCUUGUUUUUCAUAGCAAAAAUGAAAAGAUGGUCAAAACCCUCAUAAAUUCACCUUCCUCUCAAAGGCCAUUUGCUGCUUCAGUUGCUACUGUUUGCAUUUGAAGCAAGAUAAACCAAAGCUCUAUUGCAUCUGUGCGCCAUCCACAUUGCUGUGAAAAAAAUGUUUUGGGAAAAUUCAACAUUCAGCUUCAGAUCUAUAAGACCCUGAAGUGUCUGAGUUGUAACUUCAAUCCUUCAGCAAUUAUAAUUGUUUCAGAAGCUCAUGGGAGUGGAGGACAUGGCACAGAAUAAUCUCCAAGGUGAUAUUUUGCCCAUGAAAUUCAAUUCUGAGAACUAUGUAUCCUCAUCCCAUGUCCCAGUUUUAAGAAAGGAAUGAGACUUAAAACACUUCUCUUCAUUUAGACUCUCCUAUAGGAGAACCAACCGACCUCCCCUUGCAGCUAGUAUGCUGGACGCUUUCUGGUGUUUCUAAUCGUGGCAGGGAGGCAAUAUCCAGUAUUACUAAAGCUGAUAUACUCUUUCUAAUAUGACAUUUGUUUCAUUUUGUUCCUUAAUCCAGGAACCAGGGCCAAAAAAAUCUUGAUGUAUGGACUUCCUAGAGAGGAACUAUAAACUUCUUUCCCUACUCUCUGCCCUUCCUUCCCCCCAGUUUAGUGUUUCCUGUGCUUCCAUGAAGAGCGUGUAAUAAAAGAAGCGAGUCUUUCUCCCCAUCCAGAUCCCAGCUGUGUCUGGUUUUGUAAAUUUGCUAUCCUGUCACAUUUAGACUAGAUUUAUAUCUACUCCAGUUAUUCAAUCCAAUUUUCAGUAGAACCUGCAUGGUGCAUAUUGAUAUAUUUGUUUUUAAAACAAUUAUUUUUACUGAUAACAUAGGAAUUUAAAUUACAGUCUUUAUUUUCAGCAAAUUAUAGUUUUUAUUUUCAGCAAAUGCUUUGGGGUCUUUACAUUAUAGUCUAGUGAAACCGGCUGGGAUGACUUUCCAAUGUCCUAAUGCUGGAAACUAUCUACAGUGCAGUGUCUGAACAUGCCCAGUGUUCUCUGCAGCUACGCUCUCUAGGAAAAGCAUAACACAACAAGGCUUCUGCCACAAGGCACCUUUCUUUUCUGAUGUCACAAACUUGGUAUUACAAUAUCUAAUUCUGUGCAUCAUGUUAAAACUAUUGCCAUUCAUUCACCAGCAAAUUUUACUUUUAACAGAGGCUAUAAAUCAAGGUGGACAACAUAGAUAUUAUUAAUUUUAAAAAUUCCCAUUUCUUUUUAUUCAGAACCAAAGACAAUGUCCUGUGAACCUAAUGUUAUGAAGUGACCUCUAUAAUAAAACAGGUUUCUGAGCUGCUAACCAAUAACAAAUGCUUCAUAGAUGCUCCAAUUAAAUAAAAAUAAUGGUGAAAAACUCACUUAUUGAAAGAGAGCAUUAGAGUAAGUAAGGUAAACAAUUUACCACUGGGAAAUAUCUAUGUUGGAAUCCCCUCCUCUCAAUUGGUAAGUAAUUUCAGCAAAGAAUGAACAUGGAAUCGUGAGUUUAAAACAAAUUUUUACUGUGGUGUUGCACAUAAUUUUCAGUUCUCUCUUGAAAAAAAAGACACCACUCUAUUUUAAUUACACCUGGCAUUAGCUAAUGUUUCAAAUUCUUUUUAAGUUCCGUUUGUCUUAAAUAUGCCUUACCAUUUUUAGGUCAGCACUAGUAAUUUAACAGUGACUUUCACCUGUGGAGGCUUUUACAACUUGUACUCCUCAGAGAGAAAGAAGAUGUCCAAGGACAUACGUGAACACAGGAGGUGCCCCACUGGGUCGGACUGGGGAUCGUUUUUUUUUUCUUUGACAGCGGCAAGAGACCCUGGCACAUGUCAGAUACUUUGAGUGUACAUCAAACAAGGCAGGCUGCGGUCUCUCCUCCAGAAAUUCUCACUGAAGUUCUAGCCGCACUUUUUCCUCUCAACUUUUUAUUUAUACACUCCCUAACCAAGGCCCUUCCAAGUUGCAGGACCUCCUCCUCAGUCUCUUCCAGGCCCUGUCCGUCUUGGUUACUCAUGUCACCAGAAGAAGGAAGCGUGAUGGGGGGAUCCUGGUGACUGUGGGAACCUGUGUCCAUUCAUUCCAUCAUCCUCCCACAUCUCCAAGCAGAGCAUCACUGGGGAGCAUCCACCUCUUCCUCAGUUAACGUUCGAGAAGUGGUGGGUGACGUCAGGGUUUCUCUGCUUCAUGCCCUCUUCCAGUUCCCUAUCUCUGUAGUUUCAAACCUGUAACUCUUCCCUUUCUUCCAUUUAUUUUUCAUUGUAGUUCAUUUUUUCUCCUUGUUUUCAUUACCAUAGCCCUCUCUCCCCCAAGGGGCGCUUCAAGGUUUUGCCCGUAAGUACCCAAACAGAAAAGCAAACAGAAACAGGAGCAGUAGGAGAAACUAUUUAUAGAGUGCACACAAGCUUGGCCACCUUCUUCAGGCCUUUUCUGUGUUAGUCCCCUGGCUUCCAUGGCUGUUAGGAAGGUAAAUCCUUACCUAGUCCUUUCACUAUCCAUUUUUGGACCUAUUCUACAUGAACUUGUCCAAUUCCUGUUUGAACCUGCUGUUGGGAUCUGCUUUCACAACCUCUUUUGGUAGCAAGGUCAGAAAUUCACUAGCUACUGUGUAAAGUCAUGUGUUCUUUUCAUCUGUUUUAAACUAAUUUCACCAAAUAAGCCAAGCUCUACGCUGUGAUGAAAAAUGGUUCCUUAUUCAUCUUUUCAGCCACCUUUGUGAUUUCAUAAACAUUGAACAAGUCUCACCACAGCACUUACCCUUCCCAAUUGAAAAGCCUCAAAUUUUUUAGUCGGGUCUCAUAGGGCAGCCAGUCCCUUUAAUCCCUUUUAUAAUUUCAAUUGUUUUCUCUGUAUCUUCCCUAACUCUUCCAUGUCCUUUUCCAGAUACCAGGGCCAGAACUGUACAGAGCAUUAAAAAUGUGGAUACAAGAGAGUCACACUAGAGUUAAGGCAAAAUUAUGCUCUCUCACUACCAUUUCAGAUGAUGCCAGACACCUUUUUUGCCUGUUGUUUGAAUGCCACCACAUAUUCACCCAGUGAUUUCUGAGAACUUCAGUCUCAAUAACUCCAACGUUUCUUUUCUGAGUUGUACCUGGUCAUUAGAUCUGGCAAAGCUAUGUGACAAUCUGUGUACUUCAGAGAAAGCCAACUAAUUUAGCCAAUGAAACAGUGUUCUUAAUUUUUAUAACUGGUGUUAACCUAUACAGGUUCAGAAUUUUAUUCUGAAUCCGUGAAUUAUUACUUUUACAAUUUCCUGUAUAAUGUAUGAAUAUGUCUAUUGGUCCCAGUGUUGCAGGUCUUCCAAAGGAAGAGCUCUACUUUGAGUGAAGUGGAAUUCUUACGUAAAUAAGCUCAAACAUGUCUUUAGUAUGAGGUGGACAAGGUGAAAGCUCUGUAGAUGUAGAUCCUACAUAGGAAGACAACAGAGAGAGCAAAUUGGAGUUACCUUUGGAGCAGUACCCGAGUCCUGCGAUGAAGAAGUCAACUUCUUCCUUUGUGGCUGGUGAUCUCCAUGCUGAGUAGAUGCUUAUUACCGGGGAGAAAAGGAUUGUUAAUGUGAAAGCUCUAUGUUCUUUUAAAACAACUCUGUGUUAUUGAAAGUAAACAUGUUUGAAGAAUCAACCUUUUGCUAAUGAUCAGCAUACUCCUUUCCCUUUUUGUCUUCAAACAGACCAGCUGACGCCAGCUCUGAUGUUAUUUUUUUUUCAUGCAGGGAGGAGGUGGUUAUAGCAAAGAUGUAUUUUAACAAACAAACUUGGAAAAAUAAAACCAUCCUUUUUU